AUGUCUGAGCUUUGGCCGUGCCCACGUCCCCUGUGUGCCGCAGGGCUCCGGGCCAAAGUGACCCUGCUGGAGCCCGGGGGCACCUCCAGCCCCCCGGGGGUCCCUGCGCCUCCUCUGCCGAGCGUCCGGGUUCAGUUUCAGCCGUUCUGAUCUGCACUGGAUCCGCCAGAGACCCGGGCAGGGGCUGCAGUGGGUCGCAGCCAUCGACAGCUACGGCGGCACCUACUGCCCGCCGUCCCUGCGGGGCCGGGUCACGAUCUCCAGGGACAACGGGCAGAACUCCAUGUCCCUGACCAUGAACAACCUCAAGGACGAGGAUUCCGGAUCCUAUUUCUGCGCCAAAGAGUCCGGCACUAACACUGCUGCUGGUGCUCUUGAAUCUAUUGACCCAUCCCCAUCCCCAGGUCCCCCCCUGUCCCCGUUCCCCGGGUCCUUCCCUCCAACCCUGACCCCAUCGCUGACCCCCACGGACCCAAAUCCGGCCCAUUUUCCCCAAAUCUCGACCAUUGGCACCCAGGUUUGGGGAGCUUGGAUCCUGACCCGGCCCUGCACCGAGGGCGCGUACUCGGUGCUGCCACCACUGCUGCUGAUACUGGCGACGAAUUCCAGCCCCUGCCCAGGUCUUUGA